ensembl:misc_RNA Metazoa_SRP Metazoan signal recognition particle RNA
GCCGGGUGUGCUGGCGCACGCCUAUAAUCCCAGCUACUGGGAGGCUGAGGCAUGAGAAUCGCUUGAACCCAGGAGGUCAAGGCUGCAGUGAGCCGAGAUUGUGCCACUAUACUCCAGCCUGGGUGACAGAGUGAGACCUUGUCUCCA